CCUACGGGGGGCUGCAGUGGGGAAUAUUGCACAAUGGGGGAAACCCUGAUGCAGCGACGCCGCGUGAGUGAAGAAGUAAUUCGUUACGUAAAGCUCUAUCAGCAGGGAAGAAACACUGACCUUACGGUCAGCAGACGGUACCUGAGUAAGAAGCCCCGGCUAACUACGUGCCAGCAGCCGCGGUAAUACGUAGGGGGCAAGCGUUAUCCGGAUUUACUGGGCGUAAAGCGCUCGUAGGCGGUAUGUCAAGUCAAGGGUGAAAUCCCCGCGCUCAACGUGGGAACUGCCUUUGAAACUGGCAAACUGGAGGGUGUGAGAGGAUAGUGGAAUUCCAGGUGUAGGAGUGAAAUCCGUAGAUAUCUGGAGGAACAUCAGUGGCGAAGGCGACUAUCUGGCACAUAACUGACGCUGAGGAGCGAAAGCGUGGGUAGCAAACAGGAUUAGAUACCCCAGUAGUC
rnacentral:rRNA from 1 species